AGAUUCGGAAUUAUUCGAUAUUCUUCAAUUGAUUGCUUAUGUAUGUAUAUCUUGCUUUAAACUCGCUGUAGGAUGAAAUUUUUCGCAAUUCUAAUCAUCGCGGGGACUUUUGCUGAAUUUGGUAACUGUAUUCCGUCUGGUCCAUCAAGUCCGGAUCGUUGCAGUAAUAAUCAAUGUGGUCAUGUCAGCAAUCCUUGCGGUGCAAAUUCCUACAACUGCAAUAUAAUCACCCAGCGAUGCGUCUGUUCGGAGUCAGAUCUUUCGAACAUUCUAGAUGAAGUAGUUGGCAGGCUUGAAAACAUUGUGAACGAUUUGGAUUAGGUGGUGCCGGUGAAAAAACCGAUGAAGCCAGAAUGGCAGGUGUUAUGCAGCAAGUCUAAUUGUACAUAAGUAGUUCACGAAAAUAAAAAGUUCCAUUGUAUGUAUGUAGAAGAUUAAUUAUGUUAAUAUAUUUACAUAUGUACCUAAUUAUGUACGUAAUAUAUGUUUCUCGAAUUUAGUCUGCUGGACACCUGCCAAAUAAAAAAAUUCUGAAAUUUGCAUUUACAUA